ACAUAUCAACUUUUGAUGCCACUUUCUGCGCCUACCAUGGUGACCACGGUUAACGGGGAAUCAGGGUUCGAUUCCG
rnacentral:rRNA from 1 species